GUCAAGAGUAGAAGCGUUCAGCGGCCGCCCGGCCGCCCGGAAAUUGCUCUGAAA
rnacentral:ncRNA from 2 species